rnacentral:rRNA from 1 species
AUACGGAGGGUGCAAGCGUUAUCCGGAAUCAUUGGGUUUAAAGGGUCCGUAGGCGGACUAUUAAGUCAGAGGUGAUAUCCCACAGCUCAACUGUGGAACUGCCUUUGAUACUGGUAGUCUUGAGUUAUAUGGAAGUAGAUAGAAUGUGUAGUGUAGCGGUGAAAUGCAUAGAUAUUACACAGAAUACCGAUUGCGAAGGCAGUCUACUACGUAUAUACUGACGCUAAGGGACGAAAGCGUGGGGAGCGAACAGGAUUAGAAACCCCAGUAGUCC